GACGAACGCUGGCGGCGUGCUUAACACAUCCUAGUCGAACGGAAAGGCCCUGCUUUUGUGGGGUGCUCGAGUGGCGAACGGGUGAGUAACACGUGAGUAACCUGCCCUUGACUUUGGGAUAACUUCAGGAAACUGGGGCUAAUACCGGAUAGGAGCUCCUGCUGCAUGGUGGGGGUUGGAAAGUUUCGGCGGUUGGGGAUGGACUCGCGGCUUAUCAGCUUGUUGGUGGGGUAGUGGCUUACCAAGGCUUUGACGGGUAGCCGGCCUGAGAGGGUGACCGGCCACAUUGGGACUGAGAUACGGCCCAGACUCCUACGGGAGGCAGCAGUGGGGAAUAUUGCACAAUGGGCGGAAGCCUGAUGCAGCAACGCCGCGUGCGGGAUGACGGCCUUCGGGUUGUAAACCGCUUUCGCCUGUGACGAAGCGUGAGUGACGGUAAUGGGUAAAGAAGCACCGGCUAACUACGUGCCAGCAGCCGCGGUGAUACGUAGGGUGCGAGCGUUGUCCGGAUUUAUUGGGCGUAAAGGGCUCGUAGGUGGUUGAUCGCGUCGGAAGUGUAAUCUUGGGGCUUAACCCUGAGCGUGCUUUCGAUACGGGUUGACUUGAGGAAAGGUAGGGGAGAAUGGAAUUCCUGGUGGAGCGGUGGAAUGCGCAGAUAUCAGGAGGAACACCAGUGGCGAAGGCGGUUCUCUGGGCCUUUCCUGACGCUGAGGAGCGAAAGCGUGGGGAGCGAACAGGCUUAGAUACCCUGGUAGUCCACGCUGUAAACGGUGGGUACUAGGUGUGGGGUCCAUUCCACGGGUUCCGUGCCGUAGCUAACGCUUUAAGUACCCCGCCUGGGGAGUACGGCCGCAAGGCUAAAACUCAAAGGAAUUGACGGGGCCCCGCACAAGCGGCGGAGCAUGCGGAUUAAUUCGAUGCAACGCGUAGAACCUUACCUGGGUUUGACAUGGAUCGGGAGUGCUCAGAGAUGGGUGUGCCUCUUUUGGGGUCGGUUCACAGGUGGUGCAUGCCUGUCGUCAGCUCGUGUCGUGAGAUGUUGGGUUAAGUCCCGCAACGAGCGCAACCCUUGUUCACUGUUGCCAGCACGUUAUGGUGGGGACUCAGUGGAGACCGCCGGGGUCAACUCGGAGGAAGGUGGGGAUGACGUCAAGUCCUCAUGCCCCUUAUGUCCAGGGCUUCACGCAUGCUACAAUGGCUGGUACAGAGAGUGGCGAGCCUGUGAGGGUGAGCGAAUCUCGGAAAGCCGGUCUCAGUUCGGAUUGGGGUCUGCAACUCGACCUCAUGAAGUCGGAGUCGCUAGUAAUCGCAGAUCAGCAACGCUGCGGUGAAUACAAUCCCGGGGCU
rnacentral:rRNA from 1 species